GACGAACGCUGGCGGCGUGCUUAACACAUGCCAGUCGAACGGAAAGGCCCUGCUUGCAGGGUACUCGAGUGGCGAACGGGUGGGUAACACGUGGGUGAUCUGCCCUGCACUUCGGGAUAAGCCUGGGAAACUGGGUCUAAUACCGGCUAGGAGCCAUUUUUAGUGUGAUGGUUGGAAAGUUUUUUCGGUGUUGGAUGAGCGCGCGGCCUAUCAGCUUGCUGGUGGGGUUAUGGGCUACCAAGGCGGCGACGGGUAGCCGGCCUGAGAGGGUGGACGGCCACAUUGGGUCUGAGAGACGGCCCAGGCACCGACGGGAGGCAGCAGGGGGGAAUAUUGCACGAUGGGCGCAAGCCUGAUGCAGCGACGCCGCGGGGGGGAUGACGGCCUUCGGGUUGUAAACUCCUUGCGCUAGGAACGAAGCUUUUUGUGACGGUACCUAGAUAAGAAGCACCGGCUAACUACGUG
rnacentral:rRNA from 1 species